rnacentral:ncRNA from 1 species
UUGAAUAGAUGGCAUACUUACCGAAAAGUAAGGACGCAAAACUAGAGGGUCUAAAUAAUUUAUUAUAUGACAGCCAGUUGCAAAG